CUAAGUAAGAAAGAAGACACACUCACACAAGUAAAGCCAGAGAGCAUAUAAACCAAUAUGAGAAACUCAGACUUUCUUAUAAGGAUACCAAAGAAGCAGUGGUCAGAAGAGGCCUGGGAAAAGACUCCAAAAAGAAGUGAAAAUUUGAGCUGGUCAUUCUAAAUGUUUCCAUCACAACCUGGUACAGAAGAUGUGAAGAAAUACCUGAAAAGAACCCCUUCAAGUUGUAAAAGUCUCAUGCCUCACUAAACCCCAUUUGGCCCUGCUCCCUAAGUCCCUGCCUCAUCAAUUC